UACAGAGGUCCCAAGCGUUGUUCGGAUUCACUGGGCGUAAAGGGUGCGCAGGUGGGUUGGCAAGUUUGAUGUGAAAGCCCCGGGCUUAACCCGGGAAUGGCAUUGAAUACUGCUGAUCUGGAGGAUCGGAGGGGGGACUGGAAUUCUUGGUGUAGCAGUGAAAUGCGUAGAUAUCAAGAGGAACACCAGUGGCGAAGGCGAGUCCCUGGACGAUACCUGACACUGAGGCACGAAAGCCGGGGGAGCAAACAGG
rnacentral:rRNA from 1 species